UACGGAGGGGGCUAGCGUUGUUCGGAAUUACUGGGCGUAAAGCGCACGUAGGCGGCUUUGCAAGUUAGAGGUGAAAGCCCGGGGCUCAACUCCGGAAUUGCCUUUAAAACUGCAUCGCUAGAAUUGUGGAGAGGUAAGUGGAAUUCCGAGUGUAGAGGUGAAAUUCGUAGAUAUUCGGAAGAACACCAGUGGCGAAGGCGACUUACUGGACACAUAUUGACGCUGAGGUGCGAAAGCGUGGGGAGCAAACA
rnacentral:rRNA from 1 species